UACAGAGGGUGCGAGCGUUACUCGGAUUUACUGGGCGUAAAGGGCGCGUAGGCGGCUGUUUAAGUUGGAUGUGAAAUCCCCGAGCUUAACCUGGGAAUUGCAUUCGAUACUGGGAAGCUAGAGUAUGGGAGAGGAUGGUAGAAUUCCAGGUGUAGCGGUGAAAUGCGUAGAGAUCUGGAGGAAUACCGAUGGCGAAGGCAGCCAUCUGGCCUAAUACUGACGCUGAGGUACGAAAACAUGGGGAGCAAACAGA
rnacentral:misc_RNA from 1 species